rnacentral:lncRNA from 1 species
UUUCCAGCAUAUCUACCUGACAAAAGGAAGAAAGACAAUGUAAAAUUGCAAACGCAAAUAUAAGAGGAAAUGGAAAGAUUAAGGGAAAAUUCUGGUUGGGAUCAGUGAGCUAGGCCAGCUAUAUAACAUGACAUUAUUUGGAUCCUUAUGACCAGGCACAAGAGACUUUUGCUGAACCAGGAAAUCUUGAUAGCUAAUUUGAUUGGCCUAUUCAGAGUCUAAAGACUGGUUGAAUUGAAAUUGUGGAGGACAGGUGGCCUAAGCCAAUAGCACGGCUCCACUUUUGCUGAAAAUUUAGUUCUCAGUCAGAUUUCCAGAUGUAAUUCUGGCUUGCUAUUGAUUCUGAAAGUGGGACUAGUUAGAGAAUAGUCUAGUCAGAUUUCUCUGAUUUUCUGUCCUGAAAUAUAUGUCUAGUUAGAGAAUAGUUGCUUUAUUUUUCUACAAUACCCUCAUUUUGAAUAAUAAUUACUCAAUAAUAACUCUUAAAAAAUUGUGUAAAAAUAUAGAGUUGCUCUGCAUAUAUUGAGUUCUGUUAAAAUGCGUGUAAAGUUAAACAGGACACUCUUGUAGGAUCAGAGGGGGUGAUAGUUUCCUUUGUGUUCAAGUGAGCCGAGUGCAAGUCAUUCGUAACUUAUGGAGCUAACUGACUCUUUAAGGACAACCCAAAUUUUCUUAAUAUAUCCCCUUUCACUCUUAAAACAUCUAUUAACUUCUUAUC